CCCAAACAGCAAGCAAUGCAGGUGUAGAAGCACUGUGGCUAGGAAAAACUCCCUAGAAAGGCCAAAACCUAGGAAGAAACCUAGAAAGGAACCAGGCUAUGUGGGGUGGCCAGUCCUCUUCUGGCUGUGCCGGGUGGAGAUUAUAACAGAACAUGGCCAAGAUGUUCAAAUGUUCAUAAAUGACCAGCAUGGUCGAAUAAUUACACACUUAGGCCAAAGUGGUAUUACAUGUAUAGGUUACACACUUAGGCCAAAGUGGUAUUACAUGUAUAGGUUACACACUUAGGCCAAAGUGGUAUUACUUGUAUAGGUUACACAGUUAGGCCAAAGUGGUAUUACAUGUAUAGGUUACACACUUAGGCCAAAGUGGUAUUACAUGUAUAGGUUACACACUUAGGCCAAAGUGGUAUUACAUGUAUAGGUUACACAGUUAGGCCAAAGUGGUAUUACAUGUAUAGGUUACACAGUUAGGCCAAAGUGGUAUUACAUGUAUAGGUUACACACUUAGGCCAAAGUGGUAUUACAUGUAUAGGUUACACACUUAGGCCAAAGUGGUAUUACAUGUAUAGGUUACACAGUUAGGCCAAAGUGGUAUUACAUGUAUAGGUUACACACUUAGGCCAAAGUGGUAUUACAUGUAUAGGUUACACACUUAGGCCAAAGUGGUAUUACAUGUAUAGGUUACACACUUAGGCCAAAGUGGUAUUACAUGUAUAGGUUACACAGUUAGGCCAAAGUGGUAUUACAUGUAUAGGUUACACACUUAGGCCAAAGUGGUAUUACAUGUAUAGGUUACACACUUAGGCCAAAGUGGUAUUACAUGUAUAGGUUACACACUUAGGCCAAAGUGGUAUUACAUGUAUAGGUUACACACUUAGGCCAAAGUGGUAUUACAUGUAUAGGUUACACACUUAGGCCAAAGUGGUAUUACUUGUAUAGGUUACACACUUAGGCCAAAGUGGUAUUACAUGUAUAGGUUACACACUUAGGCCAAAGUGGUAUUACAUGUAUAGGUUACACACUUAGGCCAAAGUGGUAUUACAUGUAUAGGUUACACAGUUAGGCCAAAGUGGUAUUACAUGUAUAGGUUACACACUUAGGCCAAAGUGGU